GAUGAACGCUGGCGGCGUGCCUAAUACAUGCAAGUCGAGCGAACAGACGAGGAGCUUGCUCCUCUGACGUUAGCGGCGGACGGGUGAGUAACACGUGGAUAACCUACCUAUAAGACUGGGAUAACUUCGGGAAACCGGAGCUAAUACCGGAUAAUAUAUUGAACCGCAUGGUUCAAUAGUGAAAGACGGUUUUGCUGUCACUUAUAGAUGGAUCCGCGCCGCAUUAGCUAGUUGGUAAGGUAACGGCUUACCAAGGCAACGAUGCGUAGCCGACCUGAGAGGGUGAUCAGCCACACUGGAACUGAGACGCGGUCCAGACUCCUACGGGAGGCAGCAGUAGGGAAUCUUCCGCAAUGGGCGAAAGCCUGACGGAGCCACGCCGCGUGAGUGAUGAAAGUCUUCGGAUCGUGAAACUCUGUUAUUAGGGAAGAACAAAUGUGUAAGUAACUAUGCACGUCUUGACGGUACCUAAUCAGAAAGCCACGGCUAACUACGUG
rnacentral:rRNA from 1 species